rnacentral:rRNA from 1 species
UUCGGGGCGGUGCACUGACCCGCGAUCAGGCCAGCAUCGGUUUCGGCGGCCCGAUAAAAGGGGCGGGAACGUAGCUCCCCCCGGGGAGUGUUAUAGCCCGUCCCACAAUGGGGUCAGCCGGGACCGAGGACCGCGCUUCGGCUAGGAUGCUGGCGUAAUGGCUGUAAGCGACCCGUCUUGAAACACGGACCAAGGAGUUGUCAAACAACGCGAGUCUUUGGGUGUCAAACCCACGGGCGCAAUGAAAGUGAACGGAGGUGGGAACCCCUCCCGGGGCGCACCAUCGACCGAUCCUGAUGUCUUCGGAUGGAUUUGAGUACGAGCGUUGGUUGACUGACCCGAAAGAUGGUGAACUAUGCGUGAAUAGGGUGAAGCCAGAGGAAACUCUGGUGGAGGCUCGCAGCGGUUCUGACGUGCAAAUCGAUCGUCAAAUUUGCGUAUAGGGGCGAAAGACUAAUCGAACCAUCUAGUAGCUGGUUCCAGCCGAAGUUUNCCUCAGGAUAGCAGUAACGUUUUCAGUUUUAUGAGGUAAAGCGAAUGAUUAGAGUCCUUGGGGAUGAAACAUCCUUAACCUAUUCUCAAACUUUAAAUAUGUAAGAAGUCCUUGUUGCUUCAUUGAACGUGGACAUUUGAAUGCACCGUUACUAGUGGGCCAUUUUUGGUAAGCAGAACUGGCGAUGCGGGAUGAACCGAACGNGAGGUUAAGGUGCCGGAAUUUACGCUCAUCAGACACCACAAAAGGUGUCAAUUCAUCCAGACAGCCGGACGGUGGCCAUGGAAGUCGGAAUCCGSUAAGGAGNNUNUAACAACUCACCGGCCGAAUGAAUUGGCCCUGAAAAUGGAUGGCGCUUAAGCGUAAUAC